UUUCCGUUGGUGAACCAGCGGAAGGAUCAUUACAGAGUUCAUGCCCUUACGGGUAGAUCUCCCACCCUUGAAUAACAUACAUUGUUGCUUUGGCGGACGCUUCGGCAGCCGCCAGAGAAACCCAAACCCUGUCUUACAGUGUCGUCCGAGUACUAUAUAAUAGUUAAAACUUUCAACAACGGAUCUCUUGGUUCUGGCAUCGAUGAAGAACGCAGC
rnacentral:misc_RNA from 1 species